rnacentral:rRNA from 1 species
AUUGAACGCUGGCGGCAGGCUUAACACAUGCAAGUCGAGCGAGCGGCGGCCGGGUGAGUAAUGUCUGGGAAACUGCCUGAUGGAGGGGGAUAACUACUGGAAACGGUAGCUAAUACCGCAUACCAUCAGAUGUGCCCAGAUGGGAUUAGCUAGUAGGGGGGGUAAUGGCUCACCUAGUCGACGAUCCCUAGCUGGUCUGAGAGGAUGACAAGCCACACGGGAACUGAGACACGGUCCAGAAUCCUACGGGAGGCAGCAGUGGGGAAUAUUGCACAAUGGGCGCAAGCCUGAUGCAGCCAUGCCGCGUGUAUGAAGAAGGCCGUCGGGUUGUAAAGGACUUUCAGCGGGGAGGCGUUACUCGCAGAAGAAGCACCGGCUAACUCCGGGCCAGCAGCCGCGGUAAUUC